UGUGCCCAUGGUUUUCUCUCCGGAACGGGGGCGGUUAAGAGUCAGGAAUCUCUGCCUGGCAUGCAGUGUAUCUUCCCACCAUCAGGAUCGCUCGUCGUCUAAGUCCGCGAGUUAACUCCAGACGCUGAGCGUCUUUCUGUGAUUCAUUUUUGUUGCAAAGCAGCUAAAUCUCAGCCAGUCACAACAUUCAAGCCUCAGCCAAUCAUAGACUGCAGCUGAUCAGAUCAUGCCCAUAUAAGCUGAGGGAUAAAGAAUUAGGCCAGGACUGGGAAGAGAGGGCGUCAGUGAAGAUGGAGCACCUUCCAUGUAAGGAGUUAUUAUCUUCUCCUGGAAGGCUUCCCCUGACCCUACUUCUGGCCUCAUCACAAAAUGUUCCUGAAGGAUCUCAUUGUGAUCAAUGUGCUAGUACAUCGUGCUCCUUGAAGGUCCCAUUUGUGAAAUCCUUCCGGAGGGAUGUUGUGCUGAGGACUAUCAAAUGAGGUACUCCUUGCCCAAUGCAUUGACCACGUGGAUCAAGCUAUAUCCAUGAGACUUCCGUGUUUUCCUGAGAAUUGCUUACCUCAUAAAACUGUUGAAGGAUUAAGAAGAAACAUGCACCCAGACAUUGAAGUCAAGUCCAUGUGCCCAGCCUCCCUUCUGGGGUAUGGCAACCUUCUGGAGUGAAGACCAUCCAAAUCGGGAAAGAACUUUAGGUUCUGAAGAUAUUUGAAAUUUUGAUGUUAUCAUCCAAUGAUUUGCUCCUAGCUUCAAGUUAUAUAUGAUAAAUAUGACCUUGUCAAAAUGAAUUUCAGCACCUUAUAAUACAUGGAACCUUAAGGACAUUCCAAAUGAACCUUAGCAGUAUAAGAAAUAAAGGUAAAAGAAAAUUAAACCUGGUGGUUAAACAAUUUUCCUUUACUGAAUCACAGUUGUUAUUGUAGAAGUAGCCAUUUGAGCUGAGAGUUCACCCAACCUUGUCCUGUGUGAGCUUAUGAAGGCUAAAUGGAGACACUUACAUAAAGAGGAUGUUCUUUGUACCAGUUCAUGU